UGCCUACGGGAGGCAGCAGUGGGGGAUAUUGCACAAUGGGGGAAACCCUGAUGCAGCGACGCCGCGUGAGUGAAGAAGUAUUUCGGUAUGUAAAGCUCUAUCAGCAGGGAAGAAGAUGACAGUACCUGAGUAAGAAGCCCCGGCUAACUACGUGCCAGCAGCCGCGGUAAUACGUAGGGGGCAAGCGUUAUCCGGAUUUACUGGGUGUAAAGGGAGCGUAGACGGUUGUAUAAGUCUGGAGUGAAAGCCCGGGGCCCAACCCCGGGACUGCUUUGGAAACUGUAUAACUUGAGUACAGGAGGGGG
rnacentral:rRNA from 1 species